UAAAAAAUGUUUCUUGACCAGUUGCCUACAGCUGAUGAGCUCCAGUAAGAGCGAAACCAAUUCUCACUUCACUGAAACAGUAUUGAAGUAUGAAUUGGUCCUGUAGUACUGUGUCAGAAACAACUG
ensembl:ribozyme